rfam:Angiostrongylus cantonensis strain Taiwan genome assembly, scaffold: ACAC_scaffold0004629
GCACGGACGACCGAGUGGUCUAAGGCGCCAGACUCAAGGUUUACUUGCUGCGCGAAAGCGGUUGAGCAUUCUGGUACUCGUAAGGGUGCGUGGGUUCAAAUCCCACUCCGUGCA